AUUGAACGCUGGCGGCAGGCUUAACACAUGCAAGUCGAGCGGGGUGAUGGUGCUUGCACUAUCACUUAGCGGCGGACGGGUGAGUAAUGCUUAGGAAUCUGCCUAUUAGUGGGGGACAACAUUUCGAAAGGAAUGCUAAUACCGCAUACGUCCUACGGGAGAAAGCAGGGGAUCUUCGGACCUUGCGCUAAUAGAUGAGCCUAAGUCGGAUUAGCUAGUUGGUGGGGUAAAGGCCUACCAAGGCGACGAUCUGUAGCGGGUCUGAGAGGAUGAUCCGCCACACUGGGACUGAGACGCGGCCCAGACUCCUACGGGAGGCAGCAGUGGGGAAUAUUGGACAAUGGGCGGAAGCCUGAUCCAGCCAUGCCGCGUGUGUGAAGAAGGCCUUAUGGUUGUAAAGCACUUUAAGCGAGGAGGAGGCUACUUUAGUUAAUACCUAGAGAUAGUGGACGUUACUCGCAGAAUAAGCACCGGCUAACUCUGUGCCAGCCGCCGCCGUAAUAC
rnacentral:rRNA from 1 species